UUAAGUUCAGCGGGUAUUCCUACCUGAUCCGAGGUCAACCUUGUGUAAAAUAAUGGUUUUACGGCAGGAAGCCCGCCGGGCCCCAGUGCGAGAUGUAUUACUACGCAAAGGAGGCUCCGUCGAGUCCGCCACUGAUUCAGGGCCUACGACGUAGGGCCCCAACACCAAGCAGUGCUUGAGGGUUGAAAUGACGCUCGAAC
rnacentral:misc_RNA from 1 species